AUGACUGUGAUGUCACAGUUGGGAGGGCUGUGGCUCCAGGUGGGGAAGGAGCAGGGCAGGGACUAUCCGGUUUGCAGGCAGUGCGGGAGGAGGGGAAGGGAAUGCAGAGACUGGGGGGCUCAAGGAAGGAUCAGGUCUCGCCACAAAGGCUGUAACAUUCUCCAUGAGGUGUCAGCAGCUCUUUAGCGCGUGAGAAGCCCCCCAACUCCCGUCCGCGCUGCUCCAAGCAGCCAGGGCUCAGAUUACCAGAGCCGCUGUGCUCCACCCGUCUCGCCUUCCAGCGCAGCCAGAGGAAGGAGGUUAGCUGGGAGCAGAGGCACGCUGGAUCCAAGAUCGGGAUUCUGUGAUUCCCAUGCAACUGUGGAUGAUAUCAUCAACAUCCAGAACACCCCAGGGAACACAGGAAAAUACCCUGAGCCGGGUGCCAAGAAAACCAUCCACUGUUCUACGAGGAAGACAGGCUCCUGAACUCAGGUCUUGGCAGGUGCAUGAAGGAGCAAAUGAUUUCCAGCUCUUCGUUUUAAGUGAGCCAAGAUUCCACUGCCCAGCACCUGAGAGCUUUGCUGAGUCGGAGCCUGGACCUGCAGAUCCAUCCCCUACACUCGGGAGCACGAUGUGCACCCAGAGUGUCACCCGGUGACAUCUGUGCACUCCGGUUCGCACACCUAAGCACCACCUGGCGCAAGCUGUUACAAUCACGUCCCCUCCCUGUGCCCCAUUACCCACUUGACACAGAGCUCAGAUGCCCCUAUUUGACAGUGCAGCCCUGAAUGUAUAGCCAGAGUCACAGUAUUGAUCUCACUCCGGGCAGCGAUGAGAGAUACCGAUUCAGCACAACUCUUAAGCUCGUACUUCCAUUAGCAGUACCACUAACCUAACUGGAAUUGCUCAUGUGCUUAAGGCUAAGCAUGUAUUUAAAGGGUUUGCUGAGGCUUUAUCGGAUUUGGUUGUUUAUAUUCCACCCUCUGUGCCACAGGGCCGCCCUGCCAAGCUCUGGGAGAUUUACACAACAUUUCUAGCUAUCAAAAUAUAGGAAACGCCACCAAUCUCCCUCCCAUAGAGACUAACACGCUCAAUGUUCCAGUGCCACUUUGGUUGCCCUGGAGAUACUAGAAUCAACCACUGUGGAGCAGAUGCCACUUCAGAGCUUUGUCAGCCAUGCAACUGCUUCUCCAAAAGGCUCAUUUUCUGCUCCCCUGGCCACCUGCCCAGGGAUGAAUUGCACCUCGGGGAGCUAGACAGGGCAUUUAUUUGGGAUUAAUUCUCCGAGCCCCUGGCCCUGGGGGCACCCUAAAAGCUCCCAGAGCGGGCAGGCAAAACAGCCCCCUGGCCUGCAGCCUCUCUGACUGCAGCGCUGAUGACAUUGUGCCUUAAGCCCCAGCCUUGUACAGAUGCUGGGCAAGGAGCUGAGUCCACAGCGCGGUCCCUGACGUCAACGGAGUUGGGCCCUGGUAUUCCAGUGGCAAACGGGGCCCCCCCUGCAUUGCUAUUUACUCAUAUUGUGCUAGUGCCGAGAGGCCCCAGGCAAGGCUCAGGGCCUCGUUCUGCCUGGCACGUGUUCGGCACUGCUCAUGAACAGGGCUGUCUAGCAUGGGGAUACCUUGCCAUCGCUUAGCAAGGGGGGGGCAUUUUCUCUUGGGCCAGCUUAGUCAGCAUGAGCCUAGGCUAGCACUGUAGAAUGGCCUAUGCGUAACUAGACGCCUGAAGGAGAUGAGGAACCACAGCCAGAGGGACCUUUCCCUCAUGUCUCUAGCAUGCAGAGCUGCCGCUGGGGAACGUGCAGUACAGGUGCUGCACAAAGCUUUGCCUUUACGUUCCCCUUUGCUAAAAGCAAAGGCCCGUCCAGCUGCUGUACGGCCCGAGAGCCCCCCCAAGUUCACAAAGAAUCUCUGCAGUUCAGAACAUCCAGCCUGACGUGUAGGACAAAACGCGCCUCGGCCUCCAAAAGGGCCUCUGAAAACACCCAAGCAUUUCCAUCCACCAGCGUGUCAAAACCCUGAGGAGCUCUCGGUGAGAAAGCUGCAGCCCUGCGGAUAAAAGCAGCCAAUGCUCUGGACCCUAAUUCUAGUAAAUCUUAAUCUAAACACCACUGGAAACACGUACGAGCAUCAUAAAACAGACACGUUUCCCGUCCUCCAUGCAAAGCCUGAGAGAGGGAGUGUCUGGAGGGGCCAAUUUUUUAAGCAGUGUUUUUUCGAGACAGACCCAGAAAUGAACAUGUGUUUUAAAAGGGAAAAGUGUGAAGGUUUCAUAUUGGAGAGGAAUGGGCCAGAGAGCACAGUCAACGUGUGGAAUGUGCAACUCGGAACUAAAAUACCUGCUAGAAGUUUUAUUACUUUCCUAUUAAACAAAAAAUGCUGAUCAGGUGCUAAGUAAUACUAUAAAGUCAAACCACACGUCCAAGGUG